GAAAUGCGAUAAGUAGUGUGAAUUGCAGAAUUCAGUGAAUCAUCGAAUCUUUGAACGCACAUUGCGCCCUUUGGUAUUCCAAAGGGCAUGCCUGUUCGAGCGUCAUUUGUACCCUCAAGCUUUGCUUGGUGUUGGGCGUCUUGUCUCUAGCUUUGCUGGAGACUCGCCUUAAAGUAAUUGGCAGGCGGCCUACUGGUUUCGGAGCGCAGCACAAGUCGCACUCUCUAUCAGCAAAGGUCUAGCAUCCAUUAAGCCUUUUUUCAACUUUUGACCUCGGAUCAGGUAGGGAUACCCGCUGAACUUAAGC
rnacentral:misc_RNA from 1 species